AUGACAGAAUGGUUAUGUGUAGAAAAAAUAUUGUCCUUUGUUUCUAUGUAUACUCUAAAUUGUAUGUCUGAUCUAAACAUGCAGUAUCCUGAACGAACACCGUGGAGGCCUUUUAGUAACAAUUUACGUUAUGUUGUUGUUAUGGCGCUGCUAGAAGGAGGGCGCGAGAGGGCCGGCCGGGGGCCUUUUUUGCCCAUGGCCGGGCAAGAGGGAAGGGAUUUCCUUCUUAAUUCUUGCUUGAUUAGAUUGAUACAUCUCCUCUCUUUAUAUAGAGAGGUUUACUUGACUUCCAAGCAAGCGACCCUUAUCUCUAAUUAA
rnacentral:rRNA from 1 species